rnacentral:rRNA from 1 species
CCUACGGGUGGCAGCAGUGGGGAAUAUUGCACAAUGGGCGAAAGCCUGAUGCAGCAACGCCGCGUGAGCGAAGAAGGCCUUCGGGUUGUAAAGCUCUGUCCUCAAGGAAGAAAAUGACGGUACUUGAGGAGGAAGCCCCGGCUAACUACGUGCCAGCAGCCGCGGUAAUACGUAGGGGGCUAGCGUUAUCCGGAAUUACUGGGCGUAAAGGGGGCGUAGGUGGUUUCUUAAGUCAGAGGUGAAAGGCUAGGGCGCAACCGGAGUAAGCCUUUGAAACUGGGGGACUUGAGUGCAGGAGAGGAGAGUGGAAUUCCUAGUGUAGCGGUGAAAUGCGUAGAUAUUAGGAGGAACACCAGUUGCGAAGGCGGCUCUCUGGACUGUAACUGACACUGAGGCACGAAAGCGUGGGGAGCAAACAGGAUUAGAUACCCGGGUAGUC